rnacentral:rRNA from 1 species
UACAGAGGUCUCAAGCGUUGUUCGGAUUCAUUGGGCGUAAGGGGUGCGUAGGCGGCGCGGUAAGUCGGGUGUGAAAUCUUGGAGCUUAACUCCGAAACUGCAUUCGAUACUGCCGUGCUUGAGGACUGGAGAGGAGACUGGAAUUUACGGCGUAGCGGUGAAAUGCGUAGAUAUCGUAAGGAAGACCAGUGGCGAAGGCGGGUCUCUGGACAGUUCCUGACGCUGAGGCACGAAGGUCAGGGGAGCAAACGGGG